rnacentral:lncRNA from 1 species
UCACUUACAUCAUCGGUAAUCUUGGCAGGAGAAAAGUAAAUUAGUAUGUGUAAAUUUUUUGCACCAGGCAUCACAGAUAUACAAGUGUCUUUCUGUAAUAGAGUUCUGUCAUCUUUUUCCUCUUUCCUGAAAUGAAGGAUAUAUGUAAGAAAGUAUUUGUGCUUGUAUUAUCAUAUUUUCUCCUUCUGGAGGCUCGAUAAUAAUGCAUACAUAUAAAUGAAAUAAAUGCUCUAUUGCAUGCUAGGUUAAAGAGGCAAGAAUCCAUCUUACCAUAUGCAGCAGCCUAAAAUUCAAUUUUUGUGAAUAGAACUUCUCAAGCCCAUCAUGAGGCGGCUCUCGUAUCUUUGUAGCUGAUCUGCAUAAUUUUUCCUGGAAUUUCU